rnacentral:rRNA from 1 species
UCCAGUUGAUCCUGCUGGAGGUUGCGGCUCUUUGAUUUGCACUUAGACAUGCAAGUUUUUUCUUGGUUUUCGGAUUGAGGAAAAGCGAACCGCUCAGUAACACGUAGCUAACCUACUCUUAGGUCAAGGAAUAACCUCGGGAAACUGAGGCUAAUGCCUGAUAGGAGAUAAGCCCUGGAAUGCCUUAUCUCCAAAACACGUGCCUAAGAAUGGGGCUGCGGUGGAUUUGGUUGUUGGCGGGGUAAUAGCCCACCAAGCCAUUGAUCCAUAAGGGCUCUUAGCGGAGAAGCCCUGAGAGGGAAUCUGAGACAUUAUUCCCAGCUCCACGGAGUGCAGCAGUUAGGAACAAUCUACAAUGCGCGCAAGCGUGAUAGUUUAAAUCAAAGUGCUUCUCUAUUUGAGAAGCUUUUAUGAAAUGUAAAAAGUUUUAUGAAUAAGGACUGGGUAAGACGAGUGCCAGCCGCCGCGGUAAUACUCGCGGUCCAAGUCGCAACCACUUUUAUUGGGUCUAAAACAUCCGUAGCUUGUUUAGCAAGUCUUUUGUGAAAUCCCAUAUCUUAAGUAUGGGGCGCGCAGGAGAUACUACUAGACUAGAGACUGGAAGACGUAAGGAGUACGUUUAGAGUAGCGGUAAAAUGCUUUAAUCCUAAACGGACUAACAACAGCGAAGGCACCUUACGAGUACAGUUCUGACAGUAAGGGAUGAAGGCUAGGGGCGCAAAACGGAUUAGAUACCCGUGUAGUCCUAGCAGUAAACACUCACACUAAACAUUAGUGCCUCCUCGAGAGGCAUUAGUGCUGAAGGGAAGCCGAAGUGUGUGCUACCUGGGAAGUAUAGUCGCAAGGCCGAAACUUAAAGGAAUUGGCGGGGAGAUACUACAACGGGUGACGCGUGCGGUUCAAUUAGAUUAUACACCGUGAACCUCACCAGGAGCGACAGCAGGAUGAAGGUCAGUCUGAAGGGCUUACCUGACACGCUGAGAGGGGAUGCAUGGCCGACGUCAGCCUGUGCUGUGAAGUGACCUGUUAAAUCAGGUAACAGGCGAGACCCUCAUGUAUAUUUGCUAUUGCACCAUAUACAGAUUGCUUUGGUAACAAAGAUGAAAGCGAGGGCUACGUUAGGUGAGUACAUCCCGAAUCCCCUGGGCAACACGCGCGCGUCAAUGGUGGAUACAAUGAGCUGCGACUCUGAAAAGAGAAGCCAAUCUCUUAAAACCCAUCUUAGUUCAGAUUGAGGCUUGUAACUCAGCCUCAUGACGCUGGAAUCCGUAGUAAUCGGGUGUUAUCAACGCCCGGUGAAUAAGUCACUGUUUCCUGCUCACACUGCCCGUCAAACCAACCAAGUUUAUUUAGGAUGAAACUUUUCGAAGGAGAAUCUUAGGUAGACAAGGUAGGU